UCAGACUCUUUCUUUUAAAGGGGACUCUGGG
rnacentral:piRNA from 1 species